rnacentral:rRNA from 1 species
UUCCGUAGGUGAACCUGCGGAAGGAUCAUUGUCGAAGCCU